GUUUGAUCCAACACAAAAAUGGGAGCCAGAUAAAGAGCAGCACUGAGCUAAAAACAGAAAGCCUCAGCACAAAACAAGAACAGAUUAUGGAUUUCCUGGAAAAGCAACUCACCUCCUCCCACCAAGGAACUCUGUGAAAGUCUCUGCUAUCACUAAAUCAACAGUGCACUGUAA
rnacentral:lncRNA from 12 species